AGACGUCACAUAGUCAAACGACGAUGUCUAAGGCCUGUCUGGAAGGCGGGAAGACAAAAAUUCUUCAAUUUAGACGUCGGUUCUGAACGUAAGCGACGUCUAAGUUCCUGUAAUUGAUUAUUUUCACCAAAUUCGAGGGUUUUAGACGUCGGCUAGGAGGGGCACCGACGUGAACUACCCCUGACAGGAAAUCAAACGUCAAUCUUUUCAGCUUCUUGACAUAGAAUAGACG
rnacentral:lncRNA from 1 species